CCUACGCGGUGCAGCAGUGGGGAAUAUUGCACAAUGGGGGAAACCCUGAUGCAGCGACGCCGCGUGAGCGAUGAAGUAUUUCGGUAUGUAAAGCUCUAUCAGCAGGGAAGAAGAUGACGGUACCUGACUAAGAAGCCCCGGCUAACUACGUGCCAGCAGCCGCGGUAAUCCGUAGGGGGCAAGCGUUAUCCGGAUUUACGGGGUGUAAAGGGAGUGUAGACGGCGAUGCAAGCCAGAUGUGAAAGCCCGGGGCUCAACCCCGGGACUGCAUUUGGAACUGGGUGGCUGGAGUGUCGGAGAGGCAGGCGGAAUUCCUAGUGUAGCGGUGAAAUGCGUAGAUAUUAGGAGGAACACCUGUGGCGAAGGCGGCCUGCUGGACGAUGACUGACGUUGAGGCUCGAAAGCGUGGGGAGCAAACAGGAUUAGAUACCCUUGUAGUC
rnacentral:rRNA from 1 species